GACAGAGGGGGCAAGCGUUGCUCGGAAUUACUGGGCGUAAAGGGCGCGUAGGCGGGAUGGCAAGUCGGUCGUGAAAUCCUUCGGCUCAACCGAAGAACGUCGAUCGAUACUGCUGUUCUUGAGGGUUGCAGAGGAGACUGGAAUUCCCGGUGUAGCGGUGAAAUGCGCAGAUAUCAGGAAGAACACCUAUGGCGAAGGCAGCUCUCUGGGACGGUACUGACGCUGAGACGCGAAAGCGUGGGGAGCGAACAGG
rnacentral:rRNA from 1 species